rnacentral:rRNA from 1 species
GAUGAACGCUGACAGAAUGCUUAACACAUGCAAGUCUUUGGCGAAUCUGUGCUUGCACAGGCUAGCCAAGGCGGACGGGUGAGUAACGCGUAAAGAACUUGCCCUGCAGACAGGGAUAACAGACGGAAACGACUGAUAACACCUGAUACAGUUGCCGGCACGCAUGUGCCUGGCAAUGAAAAGAGAUGCUGCAGGAGAGCUUUGCGUCCUAUUAGCUUGUUGGUGAGGUGACGGCUCACCAAGGCGAUGAUAGGUAGCCGGCCUGAGAGGGUGAACGGCCACGAGGGGACUGAGAUACGGCCCUUACUCCUACGGGAGGCAGCAGUGGGGAAUAUUGGACAAUGGGGGCAACCCUGAUCCAGCAAUUCUGUGUGCACGAAGAAGGUUUUCGGAUUGUAAAGUGCUUUCAGCAGGGAAGAAGAAAGUGACGGUACCUGCAGAAGAAGCGACGGCUAAAUACGUG